rnacentral:rRNA from 1 species
CAGCAGCCGCGGUAAUACGGAGGGUGCAAGCGUUAUCCGGAUUUAUUGGGUUUAAAGGGUCCGUAGGCGGACUUAUAAGUCAGUGGUGAAAGCCUGUCGCUUAACGAUAGAACUGCCAUUGAUACUGUAAGUCUUGAGUAUAUUUGAGGUAGCUGGAAUAAGUAGUGUAGCGGUGAAAUGCAUAGAUAUUACUUAGAACACCAAUUGCGAAGGCAGGUUACCAAGAUAUAACUGACGCUGAGGGACGAAAGCGUGGGUAGCGAACAGGAUUAGAUACCCCUGUAGUCCCUGUCUCUUAUAC